UCUCUCUUAGUCUUCUUGCUUCUCUCCCCUUAUUCUGAUUCGGUUGCCGAACCGACCGAUCUCUCUUCUCUCUAAUAUUUGCUCUUCUUGUUGAUCACUAUUUUCCUCUUGUCGAUUUCAGAUGCAUUAGAGCCCUAAUUCGAAGACCGAGUUGCGGAAGAAGUCGUUGUAGUCUGUAGUGAACGCCGACGACGCGCGGCGGAGGAGAAGGUGAACUUGGUCAUGGUUAGGAAGAACAAUCGGGUUUCUCGAUUUCUCGUGUUUAGUUUUGCGAAUUGAAUUCUAGGUAUUUUGAAUGCGGGUGAUUGGGUUUAGGGUUUUGUUGACUUGAAAUUAAGUUGUGAUUUUGGAUUUACAAAUUGGGUACUCACUCACCGCCUUGUUUUGGAGUCAACAUCUAUUCAUACUUGUUUUUUGUAAUUUUUGCAGGUAUGAGGAACGAAAGAUUGCUCUCUGCUUUCCCUUUGCAAAGAGAAUAGGCAAUUUCAUGGUGGCGGACUGAUACAAUGAGCUUUGCCUUGUUUUUCGUUGUUCUACUCGUGGUGUUGGUUUACUGAGAGGAUGAGUCAGGAGAGAGAAAUGAGGAGAAGAAGCUUGCAUUUUCCAGCCAUGCUUCUUUGGUUUCCAGCGAGCUUCGACUCCAAUUCAGGUUCACAGUUGGUGGUAGUGCCUUUGAUGUUUUUGCUCAAUCCAAAAUCAUAAGAAGGCUGCAUAGAUGAUUUUAGUUGUUACUGACGCUUAAUUGAAUUGAUUGGGAACCAAAGUUAGAUCUUUUUGGUGCACAGCUCAGCUAUCUAUGCAUCCUCACUACAUACAUGAUGGUGUCACUAGAUCGAGUUGUUAUUGAACAUGGUGCAGUUCCCCUGUUUGUGCACUUUCUAAGCUCCAGCAGUGAUGAUGUCAGAGAGCAGGUUCCGACUACCUCUUACAUUUUUUUUUCUACUUGAUAGAGCAAUAAUAAGCGAAUUUGGCUAGCAUAUACCUCUCUAUGUCCUUAUUAUCACCAGUUGUCCUAAUAGCACCUCUUAUAGAGCUGGGUUGAUAAUAGUUCAUGAGAGAAUGUAAUAGAGGUUUUGGGAUAUAUUUUUGUUUUCAGACAAGAGGUUCUGGGUUAU